GAUGAACGCUGGCGGCGUGCCUAAUACAUGCAAGUCGAGCGGACCAAAGAGAGCUUGCUCUCUGAGGUUAGCGGCGGACGGGUGAGUAACACGUGGGUAACCUGCCUGUAAGACGGGGAUAACUUCGGGAAACCGAAGCUAAUACCGGAUGAUAAAGAGAAACGCCUGUUUCUUUUUUGAAAGUCGGCCUUGUGCUGACGCUUACAGAUGGGCCCGCGGCGCAUUAGCUAGUUGGUGAGGUAACGGCUCACCAAGGCGACGAUGCGUAGCCGACCUGAGAGGGUGAUCGGCCACACGGGGACUGAGACACGGCACAGACUCCUACGGGAGGCAGCAGUAGGGAAUCUUCGGCAAUGGACGAAAGUCUGACCGAGCAACGCCGCGUGAGCGAUGAAGGCCUUCGGGUCGUAAAGCUCUGUUGUCAGAGAAGAACAAGUACCGGAGUAACUGCCGGUACCUUGACGGUACCUGACCAGAAAGCCACGGCUAACUACGUGCCAGCAGCCGCCGUAA
rnacentral:rRNA from 1 species